AACUGCGGAGGGAUCAUUA
rnacentral:rRNA from 2 species